AUUGAACGCUGGCGGCAGGCCUAACACAUGCAAGUCGAGCGGCUGACGGGAGCUUGCUCCUGGAUUCAGCGGCGGACGGGUGAGUAAUGCCUAUGAAUCUGCCUGGUAGUGGGGGAUAACGUCCGGACACGGGCGCUAAUACCGCAUACGUCCUGAGGGAGAAAGUGUGGGAUCUUCGUACCUCACGCUAUCAGAUGAGCCUAGGUCGGAUUAGCUAGUUGGUGGUGUAAAGGCCUACCAAGGCGACGAUCCGUAACUGGUCUGAGAGGAUGAUCAGUCACAAUGGAACUGAGAAAGGGCACAGACUCCUACGGGAGGAAGCAGUGGGGAAUAUUGGACGAGGGGCGAAAGCCUGAUACAGCCAUGCCGCGUGUGUGAAGAAGGUCUUAGGAUUGUAAAGUAAUGUAAGUUGGGAGGAAGGGAAGUAAGUUAAUACCUUGCUGUAAUGACGGUACCAACAGAAGAAGCACCGGCUAACUUCGUG
rnacentral:rRNA from 1 species